UACGUAGGGGGCAAGCGUUGUCCGGAAUCAUUGGGCGUAAAGCGCGUGUAGGCGGCCCGAUAAGUCCGCUGUGAAAAUCCAGGGCUCAACCCUGGACCUGCGUUCGAUACGGGCAGACUAGAGUUCGGUAGGGGAGACUGGAAUUCCUGGUGUAGCGGUGAAAUGCGCAGAUAUCAGGAGGAACACCGGUGGCGAAGGCGGGUCUCUGGGCCGAAACUGACGCUGAGGAGCGAAAGCGUGGGGAGCAAACAGG
rnacentral:rRNA from 1 species